rnacentral:rRNA from 1 species
UACGUAGGGCGCAAGCGUUGUCCGGAAUCAUUGGGCGUAAAGCGCGCGUAGGCGGCUUCAUAAGUCCGUUGUGAAAGUCAAAGGCUCAACCUUUGAAAGCCGAUGGAUACUGUGGAGCUAGAGUACGGAAGAGGCGAGUGGAAUUCCUGGUGUAGCGGUGGAAUGCGCAGAUAUCAGGAGGAACACCAAUAGCGAAGGCAGCUCGCUGGGACGUUACUGACACUGAGGCGCGAAAGCGUGGGGAGCAAACAGG